GCACUCACUUUGGCAGCACAUAUACUGAAAUUAGAAUGAUACAGAGUAGAUUAGCAUGGCCCUUGUGCAAGGAUGACAUGCAAAUUCAUUACGCAUUCCAUAUUUUU
ensembl:snRNA RNU6-792P RNA, U6 small nuclear 792, pseudogene